rnacentral:lncRNA from 1 species
CACAGCAAAGUGGCCUCCCCGAGUGCGGAAAGAGAAAGCCGGUUAGGAGAUGCCGGGGCCCCACAGGAUCUAGAGGCGAGACCGCCGCAGCGCCAUCUGACCGCCGCGUGGCUGCGCAGAGAGCCUAGUUUGGGAAUAAGAAACUUUUUCGGAGUUGGAAGAAAGUAGUGACAGUCUUCAUCCGCAUUCAAGAGAAAUGCGCCGCGAGAGAGGCAUCUCCAAUGAGGUCAUUGUUAUCAUUUAUCAUCGCGGCCAAGGCCAGUUGGGUACUCGGGAGCCCGGCUGCGACUCUGCGCUCAGGUAAAAUGGUCCUUAACUGCAGGCUGCCUUCCUAGCUCACCCAUUCAUUGAUUUCAACAUCUUCAAUCACC